UGUGGGAUCUUCCUGGACCAGGGCACGAACCCAUGUCCCCUGCAUCAGCAGGCGGACUCUCAACCACUGCGCCACCAGGGAAGCCCAAGGGAUCUUGAUUUCUUAGAAGUCUGUCUGCCUCUCAGCCCCAGCACUGCCCUCCAAAUCCGGCCUCAUGUAGAAAGAACCCCAAGCUUCAAAAUCAUGUUCUCAAGAACACUCAGAGAAAAGCAUUUGGCUUUUCCGUCACUAAGUUAAAAGGGAAAAAUGGGAGGAGUUCUUUCUUUCAAUGGUUUAGAGACCUUCCAUACCAAACCAGCUAUUUCGUAUGGUGGUAUGGGAGUUAGGAGGUUGGCUUUGGAGGAGGGCCAUGUGGAAGGAAGAAGGGCUGUAAAACAGGUUGAUUCUCCUCCCCGCCCCUUAAGAGCAGUGUGAGCUCCAGCACUGCACACAUUAAGUGUCUAUAACAAUGUUUAGCUCAUAGUGUUUAGAGCUAAGUGUCUAGUACACCGAAGGUGCCUCAAGAAUAGAAAUGACUAUGAUAUUUUAGUUCCUCUCUGUUACUGAUUCACUAUGUGAUGCCAAACCAAUCAUUCUGCUUCCUAUUUGCCUCCAGUUUUCCAUGUGUGAGAUGAGACAGCAGGAUUCUAGUUGACCUGUGCAGUCCUUUCCAGGCCUCAUGUUCUAUAAACCCACCGUUCUGUGGGCCCACAAACACCUAAGCCUCAUAAGACUUAAUGGAAAGAAUAACACAACUAUAAUGCAGUCCCCCACAGUGCCCCCAGCACACAAAAGCGAUGCCUGGUUUGUAUUAAAUGUCAGAAGUGAAUUAUUAAUCCACACCAGAAACAACAAGCAUACGGACCCAGUUACACUCUAAACUCCAAUGGGCAAGAAGGACUCCUAGGCCAAGGUGCUUUGCUCAGAGGACCUCCCCGAAUCCUCCCGACCACCUGCGGGUGAGCAGAUGAAGUUUAAGCCAGAGAGGUUAGCAACAGGCGUCAGUCACACAGCUAAAACUGCAGGAAGUUAGCCCUGGGAUAAGCCACAGGAUCUGGAUGCAAUAUUCUUUGAAAAAACAUUGCUUCAAGAGGUCAGAGCAGUAAACCCCUGAAGAAGAGAAAAGACUGUGUCCCUCACUCUCAAAGCUCCAUGAACACAUUGGAUUUCUCAGCUUCCCUCAAGGGAACCCUGCAACAUGUUGGUGCAAAAUGAACCCUAAUAUUCAGCCAAAGCAGUGCUUAGAGGGCAAGCUCUAGUAUCCUAGGGAAAGUAACUAGGACAGCCAUGGGAAUCUGGAAAAAAAAAAAGGCAAACAAAAGCAAACAAACAUCUAGAUACCAAGGCACAGGGCAAGGCAGACCUUUGAGAUGGUGAGUUGCUUCUUCUACAGAGAAACUUCCAGACUCCUACUAAGAUAUUUCUUUCUUUUUCAUGAGACCAGAGAAACUCUUCCUGCUCAGUGGGGAAAAAAAAAGAAAAGAAAGAAAAGAAAAAGGAAGUUAUGAAGACUGUGUUACUUAGGAGUUUGUCAGAGUGGUGGGUCUGAGACUAAAUGCCCUGUUGGGGUCUGACCUUCUAUCAGUCACUGAAAAUCCUUGUGAGAUCACGGUCCAUCCUGGGUAUGCCCAUAUCCAUCUGGAAUCCACUAACCAGAAGUUGAAAUACAACACCAGGCUGGGUUUAGUUCUCCUGUAGUAGGCAGUGCCCUCGGUGAUUACUGGGUACCAUUCAGUCAUCUGUAUCUCCAGCCAGUCCCCCAGACACUGCAUUCUAGGAGAAGUGAGAACCACAUGUGGCCAGCAGAGGCUCAACAUUUCUCUGUCUUAGUCACAGGAUGACUGUGGGCAAGGUUCUUCCUUUAUUGGUUGCCUCUGUUUCCCCAGUUGUAAAAUGGGUAUACACUCACCCAUCAAUGCACUGAAAACUAUCAUGUGAUUGGAAAGAAUCCUUUGUGGAAAGAAGUGAGGGAUGUGGAAGAUCUAGUUUCUGUCCUCAGAGAGUUUACCGUUUGGUGAAAGAAAAAGUAAACAAGUGAAGUAAUUAAUUAUACAAGAAAGCAGACCUCUCUGAGCGGCAGUUGUAUAGGAUGGCUUCAUGGAAGGAGUAAAGUUUGAGGAUGAACUGAGCGUGGGAAAGAAGAUGGACAGAGAGAAGAGAGCAACCCAGAGAAGUGUAAAGGAUCAGCUGAAAGUUUAAAGUCAGAGAAAUAAGUACGGCUUGAUCGGGGUCAGGAGGGGGCUCCGUCCACCUGAAUAAGAGAUGCCAUGUUGAAGAGCAGUGAGGGGUGAGGUUGGACAGAUUCCAGGUGAUCAUGUAACAGUGGCAACAUCUAUGAGAUCCAGUUAUGCUGCCCCAGAGACUUAGAAGUUCUCAUGAUACCCUCUUUAGACUGUGCUGGACAGAGUUCAGAAAAAAGGCCAGCUCCAACAUUGGUUGAGAUAAAACUUUGGCAACUUUUGGCAAUUUAAGAGAAUCCCAAACAGACUGUAUGGCAGGCAGCAAUAACAAACAGAUUUCAGCUCCUGUACCAUUUUCCAUUGAUUGCUAGAGGCUGCCUGCGGGGCUGUGCUAAGAAGCCAAACCUUGGCUCAGCCACAGAGGGUGCUGUGAUCCAUUAGUGAUGUCUGCCAUGGGCACAAUAUGGAGGAUUUGACCCCCUUGUAUCACAUGGACAUCCCCACAGUAGAGCAGUAGGCUUUUCUAGUCUACAUUUAUGAUAGUUCUGUGUAACUCUGGGAGUUGAAUCUAGUCAGCUAGCCAUACCAUAAACUCCACCUCCUUCCAGAACAGUAUAAAUGCAGUCUCUCACCCAGAGGAGUUUGGUCCCUUGAGCCUUCUCUUAUGAUUAAUUCACACUCUGUUUUACCAUUACCCCAAGAUGCUGGGAGCAAGGAAUUUCCUCUCUUUGAAUCAGGGCCAGACUUCCUGGCAAAGAGCUCCUUCACGCAUCAGCUUCUCCAUCUGCAAACUGAGACGACAAAAAUGAUUCCUCAGCCAUGGGGGUGAUAGGUGGCAUAACUAGCUCAUAUGAGUUAAAGCCUUUGAAGAUGAAAAGAUCGUAUAUGCACGUUAAUUACAACUUUUAUCAGCCCUGGAGCCUCUGCAUUCUCAGCUGCCACUGGGGCUCUUCUGUGCUUCCCAAAUGCAAACAGUAGCAGCAUUCCACAGGCUGGCCUUCCUGGGUCCUGCUGGUAGAAUCCAAGUCAAGAAGGCUGGAUUCUAAACUCAGGCUGGUCAACCCACUCUGGGCUGCUCGAGUUUCCCACUGUUCAUCCCCAAGGGAAAAAGCAAGCUCACUACCUGGGCAGGUAAGAUAAGGUAGAACCAAGGUAUAAACAAAAGGCUCCAUCAGGAGUCUACUAGAAAGAGGCCCUGGGUGAGAUUAGGACACUCUGCUCUAAUUCCCACUGUGUCAAAGCCUAAUUGUGUGACCUUGGGCUACUGGCUUUAUCUGUCUAAUGCUUCAAUACAGUGUGCGACCCACCCAGGGAUAAUCAUCUGUCUGCUUCCCCUAGACCUCUCCACCUUUGCCUGCUGGUGUGAAAGUGUUUUGUACUGGUAGGCAGAAGCACAUGAUGUAGAACUACAAGGUUCUAUUAUUACCUGAAGUCACUUUCACCUUUAUCUCUGUCUCCUGUUGCUAGUUGACCCCAGUCAUUGAAACUGUAUUCUUCAGAAUGCACACCCACCUCCUGCGAGCUGCCAUCCCCUCCUGGGCAGUGCUUAUCUAGGGGGCCCUGCGAUGUGCUCAGGUUCUUGGUCCUGCCGUUUCCAGAGACAGGCGGAGGCAGCCAGCCUGCAGGGGACUGGGGUACCCUGCCAAGUUGAGUCACAAUCCCCUUACUGGGGUAACUCAAUAAGAGUGCUGGAGGCAGGGGCAGGAGGGCUUUCAGAUGCUUUGCUAGGGCUUAGGUGCAAGACUGAGCUGGGUCGAAGUAUGGAUCCAAAGAGGGAAAAAAAGGAGAAAGGGAGAAAGGGCCCUAAGUGAGAAGUUUUCAUGAGCUGGUGACACAAAGCCCAUGAUGAUGGCAUGUCAGGUUGGGAGAAAGUGCUAGAAAUUGUAUAGCCCGCUAGUUUUAUUGGACAAACAAGGGAAGGAUGUCUCAAAGACUGCACGUGACUUGCCCAAGGUCAUACAACCAGUUCGAGUCAAAACUCUGGUUUCUGAACCUCAAUCCAGUACUCUCUCCAUUUCAUACUUUCAGAUGAUAGAGGAAAGGGCACUAAACAGGAGGACAGUGGCUGACCAGGGCAAGAAGACUUGGAGUGACAGAGAGGAAGAUACAAUGGUCCUGGGUUUUGGGGACCCAAUGGGAAACAGUGUAGGUGUUUACACUCUGCUGGGGUCUUCAUUGUACCUGGAUCUGGUUUCCUGUGUAGUAUCUUGUACAUCCAUAUUUGGUGUUCGUUUUGAUCCUUUUUGACUCAAUGAGCCUUUGGAAACCAGAAGGCCCUGCAUAACCUGGCAUUGCUCUUGCCCAGCCUCUCUGAUCAAUCAUUGGUUUCCAAAUGAUCCAUGUGUUCACUUAACACAUAUUUAUGGAAUACCAGUAUGUGCCAGGCACUCUGCCAGGGGCUGGGGAUACAACUUUAAAUGAGAGGCACAGCGUCUGCUCUGAUGGAACUUACCAGCUAUCUGGGAAGACACAGUAAACAACUAAUUAUGCCCUUAUUUAAUUAUACUUGUGAUCAGAGCUAGGAAGGAGAAGCCGGAGCUCGUGAGAGCUGGUAACAGGGAGUCCUCAGCUGAUCCAGAGCAUCAGGGAAGACUUCUCAAGACUUCUCAGUGGAUAGCAGUGACUAUGUUUCCAGGAUCCCCACGGUUCCUUGGGAGGCCUACCUGUUGGACUUCUCAACCCCACCAGCUCUCAGAACCGGGGGACAGUUUGGUGGGUGGGGUCAAAGCUCCUCAUAGCAGCUCUAGCCAAGGCAGCUCCUAGUCUAGCUGCCUCUCACGUGGGUCAUCUGAGUAAGAGAGCCAGAAAAGCAAGUUUUAUUCCUCAAGAUUCUGAAAGCAGCCAGUUUAUCCUACCUGCCCUGCAAAAGACAGUGGUGGGAAGAGAACCAUGGGAAGCUCCAAGCUGACUCAAGCUUUUAGAAGCACAUGUUGGGGGAGAAAAGGAACCCAAACUCUGGGAAACCAAAAGUGUCAUUUUUCCAUGGGAGAAAUAUUCAUAAUUUACUUAGGAAUCUUGAGCGUUAAGCCUCGGUUUAGGGUCAAAUUUAUUGGCCCAUUUUAUUGGAAGUUUCUUGGUCUUGUUUUAAGCACUUUAGUGGCUAGAGCUCGGGCUCAGGGUCUAUUGAUGUGUAGGAAGUGGGGGGUUUAUAGGAUGACUUCCAGCAGCCAUACAGGUGCAUCUCCUGGGUCCAGGCAGGAGGAUCAGGCAAGAGCCCUGGGAUUCAGAUGUCCAACCAUCUGACUACAGGGGCCUCACUCUUUUAUUUCCUUUGUUGGUGGCUAACUACUUGGAGGUGACCAGAGUGGACUCUAUCAGGAGAGUGAGAUAGAUGUGGUGAGAAAAAAACAAAAACAAAAACACAAAACAUCACUUAUUUAUCAAUUGGUAGAAUAUAGGCACCGGCAAUCCAAGUGGUCAGUUAUAAACAACUGUGUCUUAUAAACAAGAACAGGUUCAAGUUUAUCCCCCCCACCCCAACCAGUGAUGAUGAUAACGUCCUUUCCCUUUUAUUCAGAUGUGCUUUCUUGGGUUGGAGAGAUAAGGGUGGAGUUAGAGCUAUCAUGAUUGAACAUAAGCCACACCCCAUCUAUGCAUCACACCAUGAUGUGUAGCCCCCCAUGUAAUUGUUAUCUGUCACAUAUUUCUUGGUAUACCCACAUCAGUUCAUGUCAGCUGGGUAUCUCUGUAAGUAAAGAAUAAUCAACCCUCAAAAACAUUAUCUCCCAUAACAAGAAGUAUGGAAGUAGGAUGAUUCCAGAAGCUCAAUGUUGUUAUCAAAGACCCGGUUUUCUUCCAGCUUCCCACUCUGCCCCUCACAGUGUCUUUCUUUAGUUUAGCCUCCUUCAUGGUCCCAAAUUGACUCCUACAGUUCCAGGCAUCCAAUGGAAAAACAAAAUCAUUAUCCAGCACCAGAAGGAUGCUUAUUCAUAAACAUCUCUUCUAGAGAAAUGGAGGAAUGGCUUUUCUAGAAGUUCUUAAUUGACUUCUCUUUGGAAGAAUGGGGUCCCAUUGCCUGGAAUGCCCACACGGAACCAAUCGCUGGCAAGGAGAACUCUGACCGCAGUGCUUGGACUUAGACCAGUCAUGAUCUACCCAAUUGAGCUAGGAGUUGGGGCCUUGCCUCCCCUGAAGCACAAGUUUGAGAUUUGGAACAAAAUCGGGUUGCAAUUAGAAGAAUUUUAUUGCAUUGGUAACGAUGUCUGUUAUAACGAGUAAGGCCCUAAAGGGAGUCUAUGCAACUGGUAGAGUUGUGGUUUGAGAUUCUAUGUAGGCAAAAGAAAAAAGGCAAAGCUAAGUUCUUGUGUUUCUAAGCCACACCCUCAACCUUAUCCUAAGAAGACAUGCCUCACAGACGAAGUUCACAUGGGGGACACACUACAGUUUGAGGCUUAGAUGAUCUGGGUUUAUACUCAGUCACAAUAGCUAUAACUUUAUCCUUUUCUCUCUCCAAAAAAAGAAUAUCAGGGAAUAACCUUAAAUCUGUUACAAUUUAUAAGAAACAGUCCAUCUUUGCACACUUGAGCACUUUAUUAUUAGGAACUCAUUAUUGCAACCCAUCUCAGCACUGCUGGAGCCACAUUAUGCCUGAGGACCACUAGUCUGUAGUGAUCCAUUUAAAAAGAAUUACUGUGACCUUGGAAGAGCAUGUCUUCCUGUAAAUUAUGAGUUGAUGACCCCCAAAGGAGAGAGCCUGCUUCCCUUUUCAAAAACUACACUCCUGGAGUGUUUUAAUGUGUGUGAAGUGUUUUCAGCUCCAUUAUCUAAUCCAGCCCUCAUAUUAACCUCGUGGCUAGCAUUAUUACACUCCUGUAGAGGAGGGAAGUUUAAUGACUUUCCCAGGGUCAUAGAGCUAAUUAGUACAGAUUCAGGAUUUGAACCCUAGCUGUCCACCCACAGAGUUGAUGUCCACACCACCACACUAUGUUGGCUCCCAAUGGAUCUGACUUGCUUUCAGGGAGUCUAGAAUUGACUAUUGAAUUUUAUAUUAAUAAUUGCUCUUUCAUAAGCAGGAAAACUCUUUCCUAAUAGUUUCUUUGAAUCCAGAGUUCAAGGGCCCAACAUCUCAACAUUUAAUAAGCCCAAAGGUGGACAGGUGGGUUUUCUGGGCCAGGGCCCUGCCUCCAUGUGCAGUUAGCUCAUGAAUGUAACAGCACCGAGGGAAACUCAGGAUUUAAAAAUUUUUUUCCAUUCCUUUUUAUCACUUAAAUAUCAUUAAAGGAUUUAUAAAGACUGAAUCCAGGGAAGAGAAAGCCAGGGGAUGUUUAAUGUGGACCUCAAGAAUGUGAUUUUUUCUUACAUGGGAAGGGGGCCUCUCCUUCUCAAAAUCUAAUGAUGAAAGAGCUUGAGGAAAUGGAUUCUAUCAAACUGAAAUGAUUUAUGCUUUAUUUUGAGGGUGAAUUUCCUGACUGUGAGGCCCGCUGAGCCUGGUCUGCUAGUUCCCAGUCCAUCCUUCAGUUCUCAGUUCUCUGAGGCAUCUCUUGGGUCCAGCAAAGGCCUUGGGGAGGAAAGGCUUCCCUUUAGACUAAGUGCUCAGCACCUUGCACUUCUGUUACAACGUCUACUGUGCUGUGUUGUUGACUUGUUGAGUGUCUGUCUUCUCCUCUGGACCAUAAUCUCCUUUGGCACAGUGACCUUGCUGACCUUUUUCAAUGCCCUGAUCCCAGUGCCUAGCACAGUGCCCAUGGGGGCACUGAAUGAAACCUUGUUGAAUGAAUAAACUUGGGAUUGGUCUUCUCUUUUCUGAAGGCCGGUGUCCACUUGAAUGUUUGGUUGGAUUUGUGGGAUUGUGGCUUACCAUGGUGGAUUCAGGCCGUGAUGUCCAAAUUCAAUUAAAAAAAACAACUUUAUAGGUGUAUGUAUCCAUGUAUCUUUCAUCUAUCUAUCUAUCUAUCUAUCUAUCUAUAUCUGUCUAUUGGAAAAAGAGGCAGGUGCUUAAAAAGCAAAUGAGGGUCAGCAAGCAGACCACAUCUUUUCUCCUCCCUUUAUGGCCAUGCACCACCCCAAUUUCCAUUCCUCUUCCUUGGCUGGCGUCACCUAAGAGACAGUCUCUUCCACGGUUUCCUGCAAAGGUACCAAACAGAGGCUGAGUAUGUGCAAUAUUUCAUGGAUGUGAAGGACAAGGAGGAAACAUGUUCUGCUGAGGGCUAGAAGAGAUGGGGCAAGGUUUGGGAAGGCAAGCCUUGGAUAUUCUAGACUCUUCUUCCUGGGGGCAGAGGGAGGGGCUCCCUGUGGCUCGCUUCUGGAACAUGUUCGGGGCAGCUCUCUUUCCUUUCAAAUAAGUAUCAUCAGAUAAUCUCCAGCCUUCCUUAAGGACUGUUUCUCAGGGUAGAGGAAAGGUACCCUAUUAUCCCUUUGAGCUUCCUGUUCUUUGUAUUGUUUGGAAGGCUGAAGUCAGCAGCUACUUCUGUAUUCUGCAUUGUUUGCAUUGUUAAAACCUUUGGAAGACGCAUUCAAGUUUCUUCUCCAAAUGAGCUCCCCAGACCCCCUGGAAGACAUUUAGAAAUAGGCCACCAGGGAAUAGUGUCUGUCAAAGUCAGGUUUUCUACCUUCCUCUAAAGGCUGGAUUAGAGAGUGUUUACUCAUCAUCCUACAUAGUUUAGCCUCUGGGCUAAGUACAGGGGUCAGGGAUGCACGAGGGGGAUCGAAGUCUGGUAUCUCCGGCUCUCAGCAAGCAGUCUGGGUCCUGGAGUUAAACCUGGGUUCGAGUCCUGUCCCUCAUCAGUUCUGUGGCCGUAAGCAAUUGACUUAACACCCUGAGCCUCAAUUUCCUCAUCUUUAAAAUGGAGUAAUAAUACCUACGUGCAGGGUUGUGUCAGGACCAACUGUGAUCGUGUGCGGAAUGACUGACAGGGAGCAAAAAGCAUCCUCAGUAAUCAUUGAGAUCACUGAGUGUGGUUGCAGACUGUUGUUUGGGCUGAAACAGAAGAUGAUCGAAACACAGAUGAUUGCUCGUGGUGUAAAUACAUUAUAAAUUAGAACCGAGGGGUCCCCCUGGUAUCUGGGAGAGCUGUGACUCGUCGUCCAGGGUUUUAUCUUCCUGUGGGAGAAGGAAAAUUAAGCACCUUUUAUGAACCAUGCAGCGCUGGUGUUUCCCUUGAGUUUAUUAUCUAACUCCCAUAAACCUCUCUUGGCGGUACCCAGCAAAUAUCAGAUAUCCACUGAAUAAAUAAAUGACUGAAUUGCCUUAGAGUCAUUUUACAGGCUGAGAAACUGAGGCUCGCAAAGAUGAAGUAACUUGUCCAAGAAGGCUCCGCUCUCACGUGGUGGGGCUGGAACUCAAUCCUCUCCCUCCCGCAUCACACCAGCGUCCCAUUCAGCUUUAUGGGACCCAUCCUGUCCUUCCAUCUCCAGAACUGGAGGCCUUGAAAAUUCAAGGCAUCUCCUUUUCCUGAGAAUCUGGAUUCUUCUGGCUCCUUGACAAUGAAGGACCUUGCAACAAUUCAGUACUACCGAGAGUUAUCUUCGGGAAAACAGGUGAAGGGAACUUCCCUCUUGGCUCUUCCCAUUGGCAGUGGGACCUCCGAGACCACCAACGAUCAGGGAGCCAACUGGGGGUGGGCGUCUCCACUUCCAGUUGUGCAGGGGGGAGCUGCCGAGAAGCACCUCACUUGAGGAUUGUCUCACAACUAAAGAAUGGUUUGCAUUGGCCCGUGUUGCUGAAAUUCACUGCAGGGAGCGCUGGGGCUGUUGGUGGUAAUUUAGGAGUAGUCUCUCUAAGGAGAUCAGCCAUCCUGCUAUGCUUCCCUUAAUUGAAACCAUUCUCUCCCUCCAGCUUGGAUGGGGCAGGUUGUAGUCUCUGUGUGCUGGAAGGCAUUUAGCUGUUAUAAUUGGAUAGAAGGAUGCUGGUAACACUCUUGUCUAUUGUUUCUUUUUGCUGGCCACUCCAGCCUGCGUGACGCCUCCAUCACACCACCACUGCCUUGAUUCCAGAGGGAUGUGCCACAACCCUGCAGGCAGGAGGGAGCCACUCGGGUUCCUGGAGUGUUUAGAGAACAAGUUUAAAAGAAACAUAGACUUCCAGAGGCAGAGCGUUAGGUUGGCCAGGGACCUAGACACCACCAAAGCCAACUUCUUCCUGCUCUGAUAAAGAAACUGAAGCCGUACUGAUAAGUACUGACAGCUUCUCAGUAAGAAGUCCAACUCUAGAUCCCAGGUCACUGGACUCUAAUGCGUUUCCCACAAAACUAAAGAGACAUCUAUUGGGCACCAUACUGUGUAUCAGACAUCGUGGAUAUAAGGAUGAACAAGGCAUAAUCCCAGUGGAACCCAUUUUGAUUAUGUGGGUUAGUAUCACUUGAGGCAUACUUCUUCCUAGAAUAAUGUUUUAUAGAUAGUGUCUGUCUGUCUAUCCAUCUGUCUAUCCAUCCACCCAUUCAUCUAUCUCUUUCCUUCUUCCUUCCUCUCUUUCUUUUUUUCUUUCUUCCUUCCUUCCUAUCUACCUACCUAUCUAUCAUCUAUCUACCUAUCUAUCUAUCUAUCUAGCAUAUGUAUUAUAUAGAGUAGGAGCUCAUGUAUCGUACAAUUAGGCUUCUGGCUGCUAACUGGAGGUCUUGAGUGGCUACUACCAGUGAUACAGUGAAUGGCUGACCAGUUAAUCAAGAAUUGUCAGAGUGGGAGGCCCUUUAUGAUUAAGUAGCCUUACAGACACUUAAUCUUUGAGAUGAUUGCCUACUAUCGAUCAAGUCCCAGCCACUUUGCUAAGCGUCAGGUACUUUGCUACGUGUUGCAGGUGCAUUUCCCCACUGACACCUUAAAAGCACCCCAUGACGCAGGUAUUGCCUUCACUUUACUAAUGAGGCUGAAAGGUUAAGAAAACAUGGUGUGCCCAACAUUCCACAGGAGCCCAAGCUGGGGCUUGGACCCAAGUCUUUCUGAUAUGAAAGACUAUGACCUUGGCCGCUGUGUCAUCUUACAAUAGCAUAGGGGUAAUUGCUCUGUCACCUUAGUAACUAUAAACUAAGGGAGGCUGAAGAUGCCAGGAGAUCCUUGUAAGCCUUCAGAGGGCUGGUGAGUGGACACAUCACAGUUGCACCCUGACGGGCUGCUCUGUCACGCUGUUGGAUUUGCCUCCUUGAAGUUCAGGCCAAGACCCAGAAGGGGCAGACAGAGCCAUCUUCCAUCAACUCUGUACCCAGCUUAUGACUCAAAUGGAACUCUUAUCCACAAAGCCGGGUCGUUUGGUCGCCAUACCUUUGCCUUCCAAGUCUCCCUUGUUUACCCUACUAAGUCCACAUGCUAAGGACAUCUCGUUAUGGACCCUGGAAGGCAAUGAAUUCCAAAUCUGAUUUAAUCUCUGUGUGUGUAUGUGUGUGUGGGGGGGUAUUUCCUUUCGCCAUGUAUCUGAUCUCACCAAGAGCUCCAUAAUAAGUAGGGAAAAUAUGCCCAUAAGUUCAUAGAAGAGUGUGCCUCAGACCACACAGACUGCCCGAAAAGGCAGCCUGUUCCCCUUUUAUUUUUGUGUAGCACUAUCGCUCCCGAAAUUGCCUUAUUUAUAUGCUAAUCAUUUCCCUGUAUAUCGUCUGUUUCCCCACACUAGAGCAUAAGCUCUUUCAGGGCAGGGACCUCGUAUGUCCCCUCAGCACCCAGGUUCAUAUCUGGUACGUAACACUCACAUCUUCUAGAGGGUGCUUUGAACGGAUGCCUUGCGCCACGCCCUAAGAAGACCAAUUUGGGAGGCACGGAUUUCAUAGGAGGAGGCCCUGCCCUGUUGUGCCUAUCCUGCUGCUUCCAGGAUGCCUCUCGAGUGUCCGGGCUGAAAGCAGCUUAGGCCUUCACCCAGGUGUGGUCUCUUGCCAUGUUCGAUGGCUCUUUAGUUGAAGGAAAAUCAAGAUCUUAUUUUCUUUGACAACUUCACAGAAGGAUCAUUUGUAGCUUCCUCCAUUCCAAGCCUCCUGGCUUUUUGCGUGAGCCGUGUUCUUAAAAGCAGGAAGUUAUGCUUGGCCCGCUCCGGCUACACAUGAAAUGGUAAAGGUUUUGGUCCAAACCCUGUGGCUUGAGUCAGAUUUAAAAAAGCUUGUCAGAAACGUGUUCUCUGGAGCCUGGCGUUUGCAACUGGCAUCUGUGGUUACAGGUGAGAUUUCAGAGAUUGAAAGCUCAGGAAGAGGUGUGAAUUACAAGCUCUUAGCUCACAGGGCAAUUGGUACGGUACUGAUCCUGGAAAUCUUUUGGCCCAGAUUUUUAAAAACUAUCCCCUCAAUCCAGCCUCUCCCUCGAUAGGGUUUCUGCUUUGAAACAUUUGUAUUACUCUUAAAAGCAUCUGGAGAAUAAAUAAGGGACUGGGAAGGGGCCUGUUACUCACAUGAGCACUCACACCCCUCUUCACUUUAGCAUCUGAUGGGGGGAGAGAGAGAGAGAGAGAGAGAGUCUAUGAGAAAAGAGAGCGAUUGAGUCAUUAAAAUACGACCUGAUGAUUUCUGAGCCCUCCUAAUUCGGAAUCAGUGAAAAUCUAGAACUCUCCUUGGUCACUUAUGAUACUUGUUGUUGUAAACAAAUGCAUUUGCAGCUACAUCACUUCACUGCUGGUGCAUUUGAAGAGGAAAGGGGUGACCUAAAGGCAUGGUUCUUGUUCUAUCUCAAUCCACGUGAAGGUCAGGAUUGGUAGUAGGUAAAUUGUAAGUACAGGGCUACUGACAACCAGGUGCCAAGGCUUAUGAAUGACUUUCUUCUCUUAUAAACUGCAGCAAACUCAUGGCUAUUCCUAGAAGAAUUUGCAUGCUCACUCAUUUGCAUUUGGGUAAGAUUUUUUGAGUGACAGGGAAAGAGGCCACUAGGGAUGGCAAGGUACCUGGUGCCCAUCGGAGUGUGACUGACAUGGUCCCUCCUGUGACUUUGAAGUGGUACCAUGGGGGAAAGAGGAUAAAAACCAUCAAUCUAAGGGGUGUCUGAACUAGGUACCAUCUGUCAUGGAAAGAGAAGAGGUAGCGAGUUACUAUCGAAGCCAGGCGGAAAUCCAAGCCAUUCCUCAACCUUUUCCUCUCGCUGUGAUCCUGAGACGGUCACCCCUGCCUAGGGCACAGGGCUGUUAAGUCCCAGUGCAGGACUCACUUCUCUAUGAAAAUGUCCCCAUCUCCUUGGGUCUGUUAGUUACCCCAUUGGAGGAGACAGCAGUCACCAUCCACCAACUCUAUUGGCAUGACACUAGCAAAUACAAAGCCGGUAGAUGCUCAAACUAUCUGGCAAGAGGCAUUAUCCUGCAAUUCACCUGGGAUCUCCUGAAAUUAAGUGAUGAGAGAGGCAUUCGUGUGGCAUUUAAGAGAGAGGGGCCAGGCUGCCUGACCCCCUAACGGUGCAAACUUGGACAAGUUCCUUUCUUUUUUUUUGACAUUAUAAUAAGAGUCUUUAUUCCAAGGACUAAAAUUCAGAAAUAAGGAAAACAAGUAAAAUGCCAACAAUUACAUAUUUAUGACAUAGUUAAAAUAACUUAUAAAGGCAACUUACAUUUAAUUAUAUAAAUAAAUGAAUAGGAAAAGACCAAGUUUCUUAACCUCUCUAAACUGUAGUUUUCUUAUCUGUAAUAAGGUCUGAUGUCAAUAAUAGUCCUUAUCUCAUACAUUUAUUGUGGGGAUUAAAUGAGAUAAUCAGUGUGGAGUAGGUACUCCAUCUAUGGUAAUAUUUCUGGGGAGCCCAGCCAGAGGCUCAGCAGUAGGACCUGUCCCAACCACACCCCACAGGGUCCUUUCAUUUCUAGCCUCCAGUGUGAGAAUCUGUGUGCCCCAAGCAGAGGGGGGUGGCUUUGGUAAACAUCUGGGCUAACUCACGUCAGACGACAGAUAUCAUCCCAGCGUUUGACUCAUGGCCCUGCCACUUUCACAGCAAAUGUUGAGUCAGUUGUGAUCUGGACCUCACUUGUUUCAUCUGCAAAAUGGGAUUGAUGAUUUGACCUCUCAAAGCUGCUCUGGAGAUCGCGCGGUACGACACCUGUUACCACACCUAGACUAAUGUCUGACACGAUAGCAGCUCCAUAAAUUCCAGAAUCUUGUCUUCAUCACUUGAAAGGAUGCUAAAAGAGAUAGGGAAGAGAAAAUCAAAUCCGAGCUGGGGGUACCCUGGACUGUGUGGUGAUGCCGGACUCUGUGGGAGUUGGUGGUGGCCUUUUGUUCCCCUCCAUCUGGAUGGCUCUACCUUGAAGGACAACAGCCUCACCUCAGUUUCUGGAUCUAUAAAUCCUCUCGAGUCCAUUGCUCUCCAGCCCCCAUCCCUGUAGGUUAGGAUUGGAAAAGCAGACUUUGCUAUCUCCUCUCCACAGGGUGAGCCAGGGACAACCUUUAAGGGGAACUUUACAUUGCAAGGUAUUUUUAUUCUUGAGACUGACAGGAAAAAAAAAACAUGCUAAGCCUGUAUCACUUGUGAAGCAUUUUUAUACAAUGCAUUUCAUUUGGGCUGCAGCCUUUGAGCUGCUAAGUACUUAGCGCUCUGACCCUCUGCUUUCACAGCUGUCACAUGGGGCAACUAAACGUCUUAGGAUGCUUUGAAGCCCCUGGCACAUCGCAAGCCUUGCCAAGGGGUGGUUAUCAUUGUUAUGAUUGGCCCCUACUGCGGUGGUUUCCAGAGUGUUCCACGCAGCCUCCUAAAGCAUUGUGGAGGGUGUCAGGACCGUUGGUGGGGUGGGGUGGAGGCUGGGCAAGAAUGAGCAGCUGGAGGAUCGAGGCUCUGGGGUCUCCACCCUCACUCCUGCUCCCACGGGAGCAGCUCUGCUUUCCCCUAUCCUAAAUAUUGUGGUUCUGCCUAAGACAUCACUGGGAGGGGGAGGGGAAGAAAAGUAUAAAAACCACUCUCUUCUGUCUGAGUGCUGUCACUUUUCCCCUUUGCUUGCUGACACCCAAGAUGGAAAGGGCAGCACCACGGGUAAUGGGGAAACUCAGAAGACCUUGAAAAUCUGAGUUGAAGUCUGGGUUUUAUUCAAACUCUGUAAGACUUUGGAGUCUCUGAAUCUCUUGCUCCUUUGUUUCUUCAUCUGUAAAAUGGGGCCAUAGUACCUACCUGAUGGGCCUCAUGGGGCUGCUUUUGGAUGUGGAAAUGCUUCAUAAUUGGAGAUGGAAAGUUCCCCCAUGGCACUAUGACUGACACUUGUACUUUGAUCCACCUGUUCUGCUGGGGUUGGAGAAUACUAGAUUUUUGGGAAGCUUUCUGAGAUGUUCAUACUGUCCCAGGUGUGCAUAUAACUCCUCCCCGCUUUAUCCCACCAGCUUCAAGCAUUUCCUAACUUCCUGCUUCAUCCUGGGAGUUAGGAAGGCUAGGUGUGAACCAGAGAUCUAGAGUGACUUAUUCAACAUCACACAGCAUAUAAUGAACAGGAGUCAGGCUAGAACUGUUUGUCCUUCUCCCAGGUGGGGACCCAUGGCUCAUCAGCGUGUCAGUGGCUCACUAACCACCGCGAGAUGCAGCUAUUACUUGUGAAUAACAGUGUCAGCCCACCUCAGCUCUCAUGACAUCCUUCCCUCAGAUUAAAAUCAGCCAGUUCGUCACAGAUCCAGCCACAGACCUGAGCCAAAGCUGUACCUGAGCUAGGUGUUAUAACUGUAAUUAGCUCCCCCCCAAAAAAAUCUAACUAUGAAACAAAAAGUAGGACCUCUUUUUUUUCUACUUGCAACAGGAAAAACCCCAUGUGGGCCCCUGAGAUGCUUUUUCAUUUCAUUUACCACAUCCUGGGUUUGUGCUAGCCAGUCUGCUAAACAGAUAUGGUCCAAAAAAGAAGAAAACAAGGUCUCAGGCCCAAAGCCAAACAUUUCCCGGUCGCCAUGGCAACACGCAGGGGCACACACUGUGGUUUCUCUCCCUCAGCUGUCUUCCCGGAGACUCGCUCACCAAAGACCAAUGGCCUCACAGAGUUGGGUACUGAGGUAACAGUUCUGGGACACACUUUCCUUUGCCAGAAAGACUGUUGGAUCCAGGAUCGGGAAUGGGGGCCUAACCAGACCUUCCCACCCUCUCCCCUCCCCCAGUUCCCAUUACUCCACCAGGAGGCAGGGGUGGGGGUCUUUCUUCAGACUCUGUACAAACAAGCCAAGAGCUUCGUUGGAUUGGUUCUUUGGAGGCCUAGACUGAAGGGCCAGUGUAGUGGCUGAGAGAACCCUUGGACUCUUCUCUGACAGAGUGGAUGUGAUGGGCCCUUGUUGGCUGCCAUGACAGGCUCCUUGGACACAAAGGCUGAGAGGUCAGGGGAUAUAGCCAGCACCAAGAAGUUGGGGUGCAUUUCCCUUCUAAGUGCCAAGGGAUGAAUCGCUCAGUUGAAAACAACCCAGGACACAUUCUGGAGGAAAUUCUCUCGGUAUGAUGGUGUAUGACUAUUUUCUCUGCUCAUUAAACCCUCACCCGCCUCCAGGGCAAUUCGGGGAGAGACUGAGUCCUUCAAGAUUUAUGGCCCGAGGCAGCCAAAGGCGAUUCGGCCACUGAGUGUGAUUUUGGCCGUGUUCAGAAUGGGAUGCUGAACAAUAGACCCUUUCACCAGGCGCUCAUCACAUGGGCAUCAGGGGAUGGGGGCGAGAGAUGUGGGGCGGCAGGAAGGCUGCCAGCCUGCUGAACUGGCAGGCCUGGGUGGCAGCAGGGGCUAUAAUAGCUAGGAAGACUCCCAGAUGGAAACUUCUGGGCUUUGAAGACAUCAAACAAUCACAAUGAAGAAGAGAAUGGCUUCUUCAUGUCCCAUUAAGACAGUGGACUGUGGCUUUAUUGGAACGGCUUGCUCAGGCCUCUUAUAAAAGCAGUCCAGUAGUCAGGAAUCUAGCAGUUAUGGACCCCGGAGGUCCUGCUUUUCUCACAGCUGGCUGGGGGACCACGCUCAGUCAUUGUGGAUUUUUGUUUUCUCUUGCAUCUCAAGAGAAUUUUUGAUGCUGGCUGGCCAUUGUUCCUCCUCGCUUUAAACGCAGAUGAUCCAAUUAGCAAUAAUGCUUUAAAGAACAAUUGACCUUAUCGGUCUCUCCCUAGUUCUGAUGAGGAUCAUUUCCGUUAGUUUUGUGAGGUGGCAUAAUCUUUUUCAGACAUGAGCUCAGCAAAUCAGAGGACAGAAAGCGAAUCCCGGCUGCUUCAUGAUAAACACUAGAAAGAUGAAAAAUGUGGAGAGCUCGCUGGUGCUUCUGGCCACCUCUCCCCAGGAGGCUUGCAUGUGACUGACUCCAGGGGCUCGACGGAGUCGGAUGCAGUGAGCCUGGAGUGCCAGGCUCCAGCUUGAAGGGCCUGGUCUGUUGAGGUUUGGGGGCUGGGCAACAGACAUCUCAGAAUGUCACAAGGACAGCCUGUGGUCUGGCAUCCCAGCCCUGGGCCAACCUGUCUUCAUUCUGUUCUGCCUGGCCUUGGCCAGAGCCCUCAGGCUGUAAAGGACAGAAGAGGCCUGAGGCUGAAGCUGGGGUUGGGGGGUCUCUGAUCCCCAGGGGGAUCUCGGGAAGAGCACAGGUAGAAUGAGAGAGAGGAAGCCAGACCUCUGUUGGGGGAAAGCCAGCGAACACAGAGACCUCGGAAUCUUUGCCUUGGGGAGAGGGUGGCAGUUCCACUAGGGCAGGUUUUCCCAUCUAAGUUUUCCCAAGCUCUUGAGCAAAGGGCCCUGCCCUGUUAAGCCUUUGGUCCAGAAUCAAGAGACCUGUGAUCUUAAAAUAAUAUUUGAGCUUAUUAAUAUUUAAUAAUAUUGAACAAGCUCAAGUUCCUCUCUGCAGAGUUCUCUUUUAAUGCUCACCUCUCUGCACUUUAGAAACCACAUGGAGAAGAGGGUUUCCUGUAGUUUAGCGUCUGUCCCACCCACGGGGUGCCACUUAACACUGCAGUACGACCAGCUGGACUGCCCAGCCUGCAGCCAGGUCCGCUAGCCCCUAGCUCAGGUCAUUCAUGUCUUCUCAAAGAAUCAGUUACCUCCUGCAUCAGAUGGGGAUAACGAAAGUGCCUACCACAUACCACUGUUGUGAGAAUUAAAUGAAUUUUUAGGUGUAAAAUGUUGGAAACCUCAUAUGGGCCUGAUUAGGCACUAGGUGAAUGUUUGCAGUUGUUCUCAUGGCCGUGGGAGUUGCACAAGUCCUUGGGUCUCAGGAACUGGCCUUAUUCCCAUCUUCAAGAAAACCAACUUUCCCAGACACAUAGCUACUCUGGGACCAAAUCAGAAAAAAAUCUAAUUCUGCCUCAUCCCUCCUGAGGAGAUGACAAAAGGAGCCAGGCACAUCUAGGCGGUGCCUGUUGGAAAAUACAGUAAUUCAUUUUGGACCGUCUGGAGAAGUCUGGUUCAGAGAAUUGAGAGUCUCUGGGCACAGCGUGAUGGUAGAUCAUCUCCUGUGGUCUUCACAUGGGACGCACUGUGUCUGUCAUUCCUGUCUCAGGAGAUCCGGCCUCAGAAGGGGCCCUACGACACGAUGUGAAAAGGCUGUGCUCGUCUCUGAGAUGACAGCGCAAAGUCCAGGCAGACAACGCCAGUUGCCAAGCUGAAAGUUGGUCUCUGAAACAUUUGCUUUCAGGGAAAACAGCAGAGGUUCUCAGAAGCAAAUGCUUCGGAUUAAAAACAUUUAAACAUUUGAAGUGUCUGCUAGGGAAUUCUCAACCAGGCCCAGCUGGUGAUUCUUUUAGACGUGACGUGGGGAGUGGACCCGAGGCGUGUUCUGUUUGCAUCCUACACGUCUGCUUGUCCUGUGUGUGGGGGAGAACAUUCAUUCAUUCAUUCAUUUGUCCCACAUGUGCCUACUCUGUGUGGUGCUGCACAGGGCCCUGGAGAUGCUGAAGGAGAGAUGCAGUCCCUGCUGUCACGAAGCCCACAAGGAAGUUCCAAAAUUCCAGAAUCCUGGAAUUUCUAAUUACUGAAGAGACCUUAAAGAUAAUCAUUUCUUGUAAUUCUUUACCUGUUUCUGUCACAGACAUCUUUGAGGAGCUAAUGGAAACUGAGGGAUGCUGUCUCUAGCCAAACACCGACACACACACACGUGCACACAAGCAUGUGGACACGUAUAUACGUACACACACAGUCUUGAGUAUAAUUUCCCAGGUUUAUAGACCCUUGAAGACCAACUUGUGGAUUCCAGGUUGAACACGUCUUGUCACUCAGCUCCAUGGCUAGUCGGCUGUGUAAUAUCCCCACCCUCACUCACCUCUUAGGAAAAUUUGGACACGUGCACAUAAUGGUGAGUUGGGUAAAGAUUACACAGUGCCGUACUCUCAGCAGACGCCGUGCUUUUCUCUCACUCUCGAAGUGACUGGAGCAAACCAAGAAGCUAUUUAUCUCAGGCCCAGGGCGAUUUUACUAGAAAGAUCUGUUUUCCUUGAUGUGAGGCUUAGUGAAAAAUACAGGUAAAGUUAAUGGUGUUAUGGGUCAGUUUGGUUUAUCCAAAUAAGAAUGAAUUUACCCGGAACCCCACAUAAUUGGCAGCAUAGCGCAGAUGUUAGAACCCUGACUCUCCCACUUGGGUGACUUUAGAUACACUAUUUAACCUCUUUGUGCCUCAGUUUCCUUGUCUCUAAAGUGGGUUUGGCAAUAGUGCCCACUCCAUAGCACCUUUGUGAGAAUUAAUUUAGCUGAAGUAGAUCGGCCACCUAAUGAGUAUG